CAAUAUAAAAGGAUGGCAAUCCUUCUUUCAGAACUCGGGGGUUUUUAGCGUGAAGCAUUCAUUGUUCUAGUACUCUUCACUGUUGUAUUUUAUGUGUGUCUUGUAUUAGGUGUAUUUUGUGAGCCAAGCAAUUAUCACCUAGAUGAUUGCAUUGGAAUAGGGUGUUCAUUGAGUUGUAAGUGUUGUGUCACUCUAAGCUUUUAGGCGUGAGUGUUGUGUAUCUUGAUUAAAGCUGUUAAGCACAAUCAAGAGUUGUUUGAAGUAUUACUUCACCAUUAUCUUUAAACUUAAUUAAAGGUUGUAAUCACUGAGGUGAUUGAGG
rnacentral:lncRNA from 1 species